CUCUUGCAUCGUUUUCUCUCUCAGCACCUCUGUGUCUCACACUUCUGCUCCACUGUCUUCUUUCCAUGGAGGCACUUCCUGUGUUAUUCUGGGGUUUCACCUUUCCUAUACCUUCUGCUUGCCUGUGGCCCAGGAAUCAUCUCCACCCUGAUGUUACCUGAAUUUGCACUUUGAGGGAGCACCAGCAGCUGCCUUUUCCCCUCUGUGGCACUUGACUCCAAUUUCUGAGACAGGAUCGGAGUAACUCGGCUCAUCCUUUCGAUCCAGUUAGACCCAGACAAGACCUCUCUGGACCCACUGAAGUUUGCUGGAAGGUGCCACCUAGUGGAACAUCAGAUGACCUGCCGUUUAGAGGAAAAGAAGCCUUGGGAAUGACAAGGGCCUGGCCCAUGACUUCUCUUCUGAUUGACCCUUCUUGCUGAAGUACGUCUCAGGGGAUCCCAAAAGAUCUGCCUGUUACUGAUAACAGGAUGGAACGCUGAAAAGUAAGCAAGAGAAUAAGCAGCUCAUUGAAAAAAAAAGAAGAAAGAAAGAAGAAAAGGAAGCAAAGAUGGGAAG